rnacentral:rRNA from 1 species
AACGAACGCUGGCGGCAUGCCUAACACAUGCAAGUCGAACGAGACCUUCGGGUCUAGUGGCGCACGGGUGCGUAACGCGUGGGAAUCUGCCCUUGGGUUCGGAAUAACAGUUGGAAACGACUGCUAAUACCGGAUGAUGACGUAAGUCCAAAGAUUUAUCGCCCAAGGAUGAGCCCGCGUAGGAUUAGCUAGUUGGGGAGGUAAAGGCUCACCAAGGCGACGAUCCUUAGCUGGUCUGAGAGGAUGAUCAGCCACACUGGGACUGAGACACGGCCCAGACUCCUACGGGAGGCAGCAGUGGGGAAUAUUGGACAAUGGGCGAAAGCCUGAUCCAGCAAUGCCGCGUGAGUGAUGAAGGCCUUAGGGUUGUAAAGCUCUUUUACCCGGGAUGAUAAUGACAGUACCGGGAGAAUAAGCUCCGGCUAACUCCGUG